GAUCAACGCUGGCGGCGUGCCUAACACAUGCAAGUCGAGCGCGAAAGGGAGCUUCGGCUCCUGAGUAGAGCGGCGGACGGGUGAGUAACACGUGGGUAACCUACCCUCGGGUGGGGAAUAACCUCGGGAAAACCGGGGCUAAUUCCGCAUGACAUCCCAAAUUCAUAGGCGUUUGGGAUCAAAGCUGGGGAUCCUUCGGGACCUGGCGCCUGAGUGAGGGGCCCGCGUCCGAUUAGCUUGUUGGUAAGGUAAUGGCUUACCAAGGCUUCGAUCGGUAGCCGGCCUGAGAGGGCGGACGGCCACACUGGGACUGAGACACGGCCCAGACUCCUACGGGAGGCAGCAGUGGGGAAUUUUUGUCAAUGGGGGAAACCCUGAACAAGCAACGCCGUGUGGAGGAUGAAGGCCUUCGGGUCGUAAACUCCUGUCAGAGGGGACGAAAGCGGUUAGGGUUAAUACCCCUAGUUGUUGACGGUACCCUACGAGGAAGCCCCGGCUAACUCCGUG
rnacentral:rRNA from 1 species